GACUGAGAACAAGCGUGAUGAUCGACUUAAAUUAAUAACUUUCGUUCUACUGAGUGUUGAUCAAACGAUCUUGUAGAAAACCUUUAUUGAAUCUGACACUCUCAGUCACGCG